UGUGUUAUUUUUUAAUUGAUUUUAAACUUUCAAGAAUAGUGUUGCAACUUGAAAUAAUACAUGCACAAGAUAAAUAUAAUUAUUAAAAUCAACUUACCUAAUGAUCAAAAAGGACACAACAAAAAACGUGAUGUUUUUCUUGAAAGAAACAUUUGUGAACACUUCGUUAUCACAAGACUUUUUCUAAAUGUGACUUUUUUCUUGAAACCUCUGAUAUGCACACUAUGGCGUGAUGGACAUAAUUUCAGUUGUGUCAUUUAUCCUGAACAUAUUCAUUCGUUUCGCGCCAAAAUUCAAAGUGACACUUGUUCCAUCUACCGGUUGUCUUGUGAACUAUGUUUAUGAUUUUUUUCCUAGUAAAAAAUGACU
rnacentral:lncRNA from 1 species